UACGUAGGGGGCGAGCGUUGUCCGGAUUUAUUGGGCGUAAAGAGCUCGUAGGCGGUUUGGCAAGUCGGGUGUGAAAACUCCGGGCUCAACUCGGAGACGCCACUCGAUACUGCUAUGACUCGAGUCCGGUAGGGGAGUGCGGAAUUCCUGGUGUAGCGGUGAAAUGCGCAGAUAUCAGGAGGAACACCGGUGGCGAAGGCGGGUCUCUGGGCCGAUACUGACGCUGAGGAGCGAAAGCGUGGGUAGCAAACAGG
rnacentral:rRNA from 1 species